rnacentral:rRNA from 1 species
CCUACGGGUGGCAGCAGUAGGGAAUAUUGCUCAAUGGGGGAAACCCUGAAGCAGCAACGCCGCGUGGGGGAUGAAGGUUUUCGGAUUGUAAACUCCUUUUGUUAGAGAAGAUAAUGACGGUAUCUAACGAAUAAGCACCGGCUAAAUCCGUGCCAGCAGCCGCGGUAAUACGGCGGGCGCAAGCGUUACUCGGAAUGACUGGGGGUAAAGGGCGCGUAGGCGGGAUAGCAAGUCAGAUGUGAAAUCCUCUGGUUUAACCAUAGAACUGCAUUUGAAACUGGUAUUCUAGAGUAUGGGAGAGGUAGGUGGAAUGCUUGGUGUAGGGGUGAAAUCCGUAGAUAUCAAGAGGAAUACUCAUUGCGAAGGCGACCUGCUAGAACAUAACUGACGCUGAUGCGCGAAAGCGUGGGGAGCGAACAGGAUUAGAUACCCCAGUAGUC